UACUGAAUGUAAUUAACCGGUUCUGUCAAAUAGACGAUGCAAAGCAGCGUUGUCCCGUUGGCUAUAUUUAUUUUACGAUGAAUGAUGAUGACUUUGAUGGCUACCAAGGUUACCAUUAUACAUUAGCAGACAUUGAUGAAAGUCCGUGUUACAAUAAAAAUACGUUUUAUGUUCUAGUAGGUUUGAUUGCUAUCUUGAAUGGGGUUUACAUUGUGUUCGUAAAGAUGUUUCUAUCAACGAACAAGUAUUCUUUGGAAAAACUGAAAACCGUUGUCUGCUGUAAAACACAAUCUGGAGAACGUGAAAGACUGCUAAAUAUCAAUACAGAUGAUGAUACACCUAAUUAUAAUAGUUUACCGUAAAGGGUAUAAAGCUACAUUUUUUUGUAUAUUGGACUGUCACUAAUUUGCAACAUAUUUUGUUUGUAUCUUGAUAAAAAAAGAUCCCAAAGUGCCUGAAUUGAAUGAAAUUCUACUUGUAAUUUUCUGAUAAAUUAAAUGGGUAUUAGAAAAUGCAUGUUUAAACCUAUUAAAAUCACGGCUAUGUUCUCUUUUAUAAUUUAUGUGUUUAUAAUAGCGGAGUGAACACUUUUUUGUGUUAACUCAUUUCAGAUAUGAUUAAAAUAAUAUGAAAACCA